AAUUGAAUCUUAAAUUAUUCAUUCAUUAUUCAGAGGACUGGGAAUCUCUGAAGUAGCCAGGACGAUUCAUAAGGGAGAAAAUGCAGGAUACUGUGGGAAUUACUCCAAUUUUGGACGUGAACUUCAAGUGACAAGGUCAGAUCACCAACAAACUGAGCAACCUUGAGAACUGCAAAAAAAGUGUGUCAGGCUAUAUGGUUGAAAUGAAGCUUUAGAUAAAUACAAUUUAGUGCAUGUUUAGUUUAAAAAUGCCAAGUUUGGGGAAUUCCUUUCAGUAGUUAAAACUGAAAAAUUAAUUGAAAGAUAGUUGGAGAUCGAAUUAGUACAUCUACAAGAUUAAUCUCUGUUGUUCAGGAUCUUUUGGCAGCUGUAAAAAUGAGCCAACAAAAUAUUUAUUUAUGGACAGCUUAGGGAAUUGGAUUUUUUUAGUUGGAAUAAUCAUAUAAGGGCAGAUGGGAGUACAGAAGGUUAAAUUAAAAAUGUUAAAAAAAGUGGAGUGAUUGAGGACAAAAAUAAACUGAAUACAUCAGCCCUUUCAAAAGAAGGCUUCAAUUAUGGAGAUCCUUGACUGGAGAAGGCCUACUGCUUAAUCAUGGCCAUGCUUGUUGCUGUGGCUUCUCCAGCUCCCAAACCUGCUGGGUGACAGCACAGAGCAAUUCCUAAAACCAGAGAAUUGGGAUUCCUGCCUGAUCCUUGCUGGAUGCUUCCUCUGAUCAGCUUCAGAAGGAGCUGUUAAAAACGAACUUACUCACUUGUCACUCAAUUCCCUGAUGUUUUCAUCAGCACUGCCUUCCAUGAGCUUCCUGAAGCCUGCUUGCCUGACUAUUCAUGUUGCCUUUGACUGUUUCAAGUACAGAAAGGGGAGGCUGGGGAAAGGAAGGUGAGGCUGCAUAAAAGAAUAAUUCAUGGUACUUCUGUCUGCAUAAAGGCAUUAUGAGACUUGAUAAGAACUCACAUAUGCAUGAAACAAAAUGUCUUUAGGGUGCCAACAUUAAUCUUUAUUGUUCAUUUUCACCAGCCAUGAGAAAAUCCUAUGUGGACAAUUAUAACCACACAUAUAACACAACAUGUUCUUUCCUCUCUGUUGAGUAUAAUUUCUUAUAUUUAGUUAAAUUUUAGUGGAUUCAUUCAUGGAGAUGCAUUUACUGCCUUACUGCAGCAGAUGAGAGCUCCGAGACUGAGAAUAAACCUGUCUGCAUUGAAGAAUGGCUUGAGUAA
rnacentral:lncRNA from 1 species